rnacentral:lncRNA from 1 species
CACAUCUGUGCAGACCCAGUUCCCAAACAAGGUCACGUCUCAGGUACCCAAGGUUGUGUCUUUUGCAGUCCACACCAGGCAGUCACUGGAGGGUGUGCAAGAGCCUGAGAUGUCCCCAAGGCCAACUUCACCAUCUGAUCCUGAGUUCCACCCACUUGCUUAGAGUACGACAUUCUGGGCGACCAAGCUCCGAAGGAUCACAUAGAAAAGGGAACACCACCGAAGACUUCCGGGGAGACUUAGGGAAGCCGCAAAGGAACGGAGAGGCCAGAGAGCGCAGACACACACUCACACCGCCAGUCAGAAGUGCAGCUGGGAUUCACAGAGAGACCUUCCGAAGCAAGAACCUGGCCCCUCGCCAACCCACUGCAGGCUGUUUGCAGCGCUCUGAGGGAGCAGUUUGCCCUCUUGGCACUGCCCACCCUUUGUGCGUCAGCUACCAUGAAUCAUUCCAGCAGGGGCAAAACCCUAGUGGAUGAGCAAGAUCAACACUUGCGCAAAUGUCCAGUCCAACAGAACAUCAAAGAGUAUGCCAGUCCUGCACAAAGGACCUGCAAAUGUCCCUGCUAUUGGUAGAGUCUAAGAACAUGAGCCUCAUGCUUGUGCCCUGUGUAUCAGUCACCUACUGGUUUAAUAAUGCUGUGUAACAAACACAGUCCUUCAGCAUCAUAUAAACUACAAUAAACUUGCAUUGCUCCUGUCUCUCAGGUGACCAUCCAGGCAGCUCUGCUAGACUUGUCAGGAUAAUUCACAUGGCUAGGGCUCAGCUGGCAGGCUGUGGAUCUCACUGACAUCCAGCAUCUCAGUUCUGCUGCAUGUGCUCCCCCAACCCUCUCCAUGUGCCUUUCAUGGUGAUGGCAGAGGGCAGCAGAGAGCAAGAGCAACCACACCGGUGCAUGGGGAGCCUCGGAGUGACACACGUGGGCAUCUCCUCCAUGGCCAAGGCUGCCAUGCCUGCUGGGUAGAGGGCACCAUGAGGUCACAUGGUGACUGGUCUGGCUGCAGGGAGAAGUGAAGAUUUGGGCUGUGGCUCCAAUCCAUCGCCACUCCUUGGGCACAGCCACUGUUAUUAUAUCAAGUGAGUGAGUCAAGGCAGGGGGGGAUGUCAAAGUCCACACACCGUACUCACUUGCACAGGCUCCUGGUUUGAAUGGCUGCAGUUAACUGACUGGGCACCAUGUCAGAAAGUCACCAGGGGUGGAUAGGAAGAGAAAGGGGCAAAGGGAGAACGGGUGAUCAGGU